rnacentral:rRNA from 1 species
CCUGGUAUGCCUUAGUAGCGGCGAGUGAAGCGGCAAAAGCUCAAAUUUGAAAUCUGGCACUUUCAGUGUCCGAGUUGUAAUUUGAAGAAGGUAUCUUUGGGUCUGGCUCUUGUCUAUGUUUCUUGGAACAGAACGUCACAGAGGGUGAGAAUCCCGUGCGAUGAGAUGUCCCAGACCUAUGUAAAGUUCCUUCGAAGAGUCGAGUUGUUUGGGAAUGCAGCUCUAAGUGGGUGGUAAAUUCCAUCUAAAGCUAAAUAUUGGCGAGAGACCGAUAGCGAACAAGUACAGUGAUGGAAAGAUGAAAAGAACUUUGAAAAGAGAGUGAAAAAGUACGUGAAAUUGUUGAAAGGGAAGGGCUUGAGAUCAGACUUGGUAUUUUGUAUGUUACUCUCUCGGGGGUGGCCUCUACAGUUUACCGGGCCAGCAUCAGUUUGAGCGGUAGGAUAAGUGCAAAGAAAUGUGGCACUGCUUCGGUAGUGUGUUAUAGUCUUUGUCGAUACUGCCAGCUUAGACUGAGGACUGCGGCUUCGGCCUAGGAUGUUGGCAUAAUGAUCUUAAGUCGCCCGUCUUGAAACACGGGAMCACAA